CCCUGGCCUGGGGAAAGAAGGGGAGAGGGAAUUCUUCAGUGUUGAGACAAUGCACUGCAGAUUCCAGACACAGAGCCUUCAGGUAGUGAUACAGUUACAGAAACUGCAAUUUAUACUGCCUCAUCCUCCCGAAGGCCAAUGAGAAGAAACUCCUUUGGUAAUAUAAUGGGGAAGAAGCUGAGUGAUAUCUGAGAAACAAAUAAAUUCUGAAGCAGCUCUGGACCUUUAACCAGUUCCGAGGUGGAUGGGAAAGGCAGCUGGAUGGAUACCCAUGGGGAAGAACUGAAAGUUAGGAUCUCUGUGGUUGGUAAAUGUGUAGUAGAGAAAAUGAUCCAUAGAAACACAGACAGUAGGAGACUGGAAAAAAGCAAAGGCUCCCCUGGGCCCAACUGUAGGCAAUGCUGCCCCCAUCCUUUCUAGGGGGCCCUCUGACUGUUCUGCCCUGGAGCCCACAAUUGCCGUUAGCAGGCCUCAUAUGUUGUGUGAGGCACAAGGAUACACUGGAUGCUGAACAGACACGGCUAACGGAAAAUCUCUGAUCAAGGGCUCAAGAGGUGCAUGCGCACUGGAAGUGGAGCACCCAUAGGGACAGUACUCGAAGAAGAACCCACUUCACAAGGAAAAUGGGAGACAUUUUAAAGACAAUCUGCACUUGCAGAUAAACAAAGAGAGCUGCCCGGCUGAAGGAAGUUGGUGCUCAAACGCUGCCUCCUGGAUCCUGGCGCUGGUUGUACUCCCCUUCUGUGUGCUGGGAGCCAUUCUAUUUUCUGUACAAACAGGACAUCAAGUAGAAAACACCAGACUUCACCUCUCAGCUGCAGUGGGAUUCCUUUAUAAAUUCUCCUAUGGAACUGUAAAAAGAAAAAAAAUUAUAUAAAUGCAGAACAAGCCAGAAAACCUUGAGCUGAG